GACAGAGGGGGCAAGCGUUGCUCGGAAUCACUGGGCGUAAAGGGCGCGUAGGCGGGAUGGCAAGUCAGUCGUGAAAUCUCUCGGCUCAACCGAGAAACGUCGGCUGAUACUGCCGUUCUUGAGGGAUGCAGAGGAGACUGGAAUUCCCGGUGUAGCGGUGAAAUGUGUAGAGAUCGGGAAGAACAUCAGUGGCGAAGGCGGCCUGCUGGGCUGUUGCUGACGCUGAGGCGCGACAGCGUGGGGAGCAAACAGG
rnacentral:rRNA from 1 species